rnacentral:rRNA from 1 species
UACGGAGGGUGCAAGCGUUGCUCGGAAUUACUGGGCGUAAAGCGUACGCAGGCUGUUCGCUAAGUCGGGUGUGAAAUCCCGGGGCUCAACCCCGGAAUUGCGCCCGAAACUGGCGAGCUUGAGUGCGGGAGAGGGAAGCGGAAUUCCUGGUGUAGAGGUGAAAUUCGUAGAUAUCAGGAGGAACACCGGUGGCGAAAGCGGCUUCCUGGCCCGACACUGACGCUCAUGUACGAAAGCGUGGGGAGCAAACAGG